rnacentral:rRNA from 1 species
CCCUUAGAUGUUCUGGGCCGCAUGCGCGCUACACUGAUGCAUUCAACGAGUGUACCUUGGCCGAGAGGCCUGGGCAAUCUUUUGAACGUGCAUCGUGAUAGGGAUAGAUUAUUGCAAUUAUUAAUCUUGAACGAGGAAUUCCUAGUAAACGCAGAUCAUCAAUCUGCAUUGAUUACGUCCCUGCCCUUUGUACACACCGCCCGUCGCACCUACCGAUUGGAUGGUCCGGUGAAGCCUCGGGAUUGUGGCGGUUGCCUUUAUUGGUGGCCGCCGCGAGAACUUGUCUAAACCUUAUCAUCUAGAGGAAGGUGAAGUCGUAACA